rnacentral:rRNA from 1 species
GUGCCAGCAGCCGCGGUAAUACGGAGGAUCCGAGCGUUAUCCGGAUUUAUUGGGUUUAAAGGGAGCGUAGGUGGACUGGUAAGUCAGUUGUGAAAGUUUGCGGCUCAACCGUAAAAUUGCAGUUGAUACUGUCAGUCUUGAGUACAGUAGAGGUGGGCGGAAUUCGUGGUGUAGCGGCGAAAUGCUUAGAUAUCACGAAGAACUCCGAUUGCGAAGGCAGCUCACUGGACUGCAACUGACACUGAUGCUCGAAAGUGUGGGUAUCAAACAGGAUUAGAUACCCUGGUAGUCCACACAGUAAACGAUGAAUACUCGCUGUUUGCGAUAUACAGUAAGCGGCCAAGCGAAAGCAUUAAGUAUUCCACCUGGGGAGUACGCCGGCAACGGUGAAACUCAAAGGAAUUGACGGGGGCCCGCACAAGCGGAGGAACAUGUGGUUUAAUUCGAUGAUACGCGAGGAACCUUACCCGGGCUUAAAUUGCAGUGGAAUGAUGUGGAAACAUGUCAGUGAGCAAUCACCGCUGUGAAGGUGCUGCAUGGUUGUCGUCAGCUCGUGCCGUGAGGUGUCGGCUUAAGUGCCAUAACGAGCGCAACCCUUAUCUUUAGUUACUAACAGGUUAUGCUGAGGACUCUAGAGAGACUGCCGUCGUAAGAUGCGAGGAAGGUGGGGAUGACGUCAAAUCAGCACGGCCCUUACGUCCGGGGCUACACACGUGUUACAAUGGGGGGUACAGAAGGCAGCUAGCGGGUGACCGUAUGCUAAUCCCAAAAGCCUCUCUCAGUUCGGAUCGAAGUCUGCAACCCGACUUCGUGAAGCUGGAUUCGCUAGUAAUCGCGCAUCAGCCACGGCGCGGUGAAUACGUUCCCGGGCCUUGUACACACCGCCCGUCAAGCCAUGGGAGCCGGGGGUACAUGAAGUACGUAACCGCAAGGAUCGUCCUAGGGUAAAACUGG